AUUGAACGCUGGCGGCAGGCCUAACACAUGCAAGUCGAGCGGAUGAAGGGAGCUUGCUCCUGGAUUCAGCGGCGGACGGGUGAGUAAUGCCUAGGAAUCUGCCUGGUAGUGGGGGAUAACGUCCGGAAACGGGCGCUAAUACCGCAUACGUCCUGAGGGAGAAAGUGGGGGAUCUUCGGACCUCACGCUAUCAGAUGAGCCUAGGUCGGAUUAGCUAGUUGGUGGGGUAAAGGCCUACCAAGGCGACGAUCCGUAACUGGUCUGAGAGGAUGAUCAGUCACACUGGAACUGAGACACGGUCCAGACUCCUACGGGAGGCAGCAGUGGGGAAUAUUGGACAAUGGGCGAAAGCCUGAUCCAGCCAUGCCGCGUGUGUGAAGAAGGUCUUCGGAUUGUAAGGGGGGGGGAGUUGGGAGGAAGGGCAGUAAGUUAAUACCUUGCUGUUUUGACGUUACCAACAGAAUAAGCACCGGCUAACUUCGUG
rnacentral:rRNA from 1 species